GCCUGGAUGGCGGAAUUGGUAGACGCGCAAGACUUAAAAUCUUGUUCCUUCGGGAGUCCGGGUUCGAUUCCCGGUCCAGGCACCA
rnacentral:tRNA from 1 species